CAUUGAUAAUUAGUUUAAAACAAAACAAAUGAUUUCGACUCAUUAGAUUAUGGACUCACAUAAUUAUCAU
rnacentral:tRNA from 1 species